UGCAGCCUUGUCAAAUUCAGUGCUUCCUUCUAUCUGGAUGCCACUGGCCAAAAUGGCUGCCACAGUAACGCUGCAGUUUAUGGGCCCCACGGUGCUCCACAUGCCCACUGGGGACAAACAUGUACUGCACACAAAC
ensembl:snoRNA